UAGCCAACCACCUGUCAUAUUUGACCAUUCUCCUCGCCUUUCUUCUUCUCUCUCUCCUCCAUUUACUUUUUCUCCAAAUCGAAACACACAAAGAGGAGAGACAGACACCUCUUCUCAGACUAAGGGAUUCUUUUCUUUGGUCGAGUUAGGAGGACCCAAAUUGACAAUAAUCGAAUCAAAGACACUUAAUUAUGUCGUGCGACAAGAUUGAUGGGCUCGCGAGGUGGUUCGGGACGAGUGUUGCUUCGGCAUUCUUUGCCUCGUUGGAGCGAUGCGCGUGCGUCAAUCUCACCACCUACGCAUCUGAUGAUGAGGAAGAGGAAGAAGCUAAAGAUCGCCCCUUGUUUAUGAACAAUUUGCCUUCUCAUGUUGAUCCUUGUCCUCACUCUAACAUUUCUGCCUCCUCCGUCGAUAAUUGACUCUCCUCUCCUCUCCUGCAGAAAAAUGGUUUAAGGAACAAAUGAAGAGAAUGGAGUUAUUGGAUUAAUGGACUUGUGGUUCUAAGUGCAUCUAUAGAGGAGCUAUCUCUCAUAGUUGGUUGGACACUGGAUCUGUUAAAUAGAACAAAGAUUUCUUUGAAAACUAACUUGGGCUGUUAGAGAAUUGGCAUGGCAGGCUUGUUUCAUUCUUAGUGCCAUAUUGCUAAUGCUUCCUGGUGUGCAUAAAAGGAAAAAAAGAUUUGUUAUUUACUUCCAAAUGUUUCCUUUAGGAACUCCAUUGUAGCACAGGGAGUUUGCACAAUGUAUCGUAAAAGAAUCCGAUUCACAUAGAUAAUAGCGAUUUAUCAUCAGAUUUCUUUGUUUAAAUAUAAGAUCAUCUGUUGUAGUUGGACA